GAGUUGUGAGUCAGUGCUCAUGUAAGAGUAGUGACUUAUAGAUGUCGCAAUGGCCUAUCUACACAAUUAUGUUAUUGAAUAGAUAGUUAUUUAUCCAAAUAAAAUGUUUAAAAGUUGUGUGUUCUUAGUUUUACUGAUGUCAAGUUGGCUCUCCGCGCAGAACCCAGGUGAUUGGUGGAUAACGUCGCGACCACAGUGGACGAAUUGCGACUACGAGACGCAACGUGGGUACUCUUGCGUCGAUUGUAACACAGUGCUGCAAUGUGCGCAGAAUGGCGGCAUCCUAGUUCCUUGUCGGGGCCUGUUCCGACCUUACUGCAAGGAUGGGGAAUGUUCUCAGGAACCUGCUGAUGGGUGUCAAUAGGUCAAGGAGGUCAAGAUCGGUGUGGCAUGGAGUGUUGUAGUGCUACGCAUACUUACCGCAUAUGUGUGUAUUGUGAAAAAACAUUCUUCAAAUACACCUAUUAUUUUCCAUAAGAGGGCUCAAUUUUAGUAUGUUAUGAUGUGCCUAGAAGAGGUCAUAUCAUCUCAAUACCUACAAUGAUUUUAAGUGAUAAUGUACACUUUCGUAGUCGGUCCUAUGAGUAGGUAAUGGGUUCACACGCGGGGUAAAUUCGCAUGAUAGCCCACUCAUGUGCAAUAUGCAUUUCGGAAUGACGCUAACUUUAUAAGUAAGUAGUAUAAGUAUCUAUAACGGUUUUGUUUCUUUAUCUUGUGGUUGCCUAGGUGAGAUCGCUUUUGUCGUGUAGGUAUAUACCUAGAUAAGCCUCUAAUGAUUUGAAUUGUUUCUUUUGGUACAAUAAUGUAUUUAGUAGCUGAAGUAAAACGUGUUCCCAUCUUAAAAAGAUUAAUAAAUAAAUUAUUAAGUACGUCAUAUUAAUCAAUUACUGAAGGGUGUAUUUUGAGUUGAGUCUGAGUAUUUAUAUCGAGUCGAAUUAAUUGGAGUGUUUAUUUUGGUAAUUGCUUGGAUAAAUUAAAUAUACUUCUCCUAAAAAUAGGUAGGUAGGUACCAACCUAAAUAUAUCUUAAAGUCUUAAGAAA